AGAAAAGAAAAGAAAAGAAGAAAAGAAAAGAAAAAAAAAGAAAAGAGAAAAAAAAGAAGGAAAAGUUGGAAAUUUUGGAAUUUCAUCGGAUUCAUUGUCAAACUUUCGAAGGCGAAUUCUCGGUGGUACUAUUUCCGGACGUUCUUGAUCGAAUUUUCUUCAUCGUCGGUAAAGGCAAGUGAAUGUAUUGUAUGACUAUGCUUUAACCUAAUAUUGGGUUGCCUACAUUCUUUAAUUACAGUGCAUUCAUCUAAUCUGAA